UACGUAGGGGGCAAGCGUUGUCCGGAAUCAUUGGGCGUAAAGCGCGUGUAGGCGGCUCGGUAAGUCCGCUCUGAAAGCCCGGGGCUCAACCCCGGGAGGCGGGUGGAUACUGCUGAGCUCGAGUCCGGAAGAGGAGUGUGGAAUUCCUGGUGUAGCGGUGAAAUGCGCAGAUAUCAGGAGGAACACCAACGGCGAAGGCAGCACUCUGGGACGGUACUGACGCUGAGACGCGAAAGCGUGGGGAGCAAACAGG
rnacentral:rRNA from 1 species